AGUAGUAAGAACAAUCUGGCUCCAGCAUCUGUCACCUUAUUGAUUGCCAGAGCUGAUGCAGGUAACUUGGCUGGCCAGCCCUUGUUUCCCUUUCUCUCUCUUCUCUGCCUUUAAUUUCUUCCCAGAGCAGUGAGCUCAGGUACAGAGAAUGACCUGUAUGGAAAGUUCCCCUCAAAGAUAAAAUGAUGACUCUUGAAAUAACAAUAGCUGCUAAAUAUUGAGAAUGUAGUAGCUGCUAUGCAUUGUGCUAA
rnacentral:sRNA from 1 species